rnacentral:rRNA from 1 species
GACGAACGUUGGCGGCGUGCUUAAUACAUGCAAGUCCACUGAAGCAGUGGUAGCAAUAUCGCUGUGGAGGUGGCGCACGGGUGGGUAACACGUAGGUAAUCUGCCUUCAGGUCUGGCAUAACUCCGGGAAACCGGGGCUAAUAGCAGAUGAUGCAGCGGCUCGACAUCGAGACAGUUGUUAAAGCUAUGGCGCCUGAAGAUGAGCCUGCGUCUGAUUAGCUAGUUGGCGGGGUAACGGCCCACCAAGGCAACGAUCAGUAGCUGGUCUGAGAGGAUGAUCAGCCACACUGGAACUGAGACACGGUCCAGACUCCUACGGGAGGCAGCAGUAAGGAAUAUUGCUCAAUGGGAGAAAUCCUGAAGCAGCAACGCCGCGUGAGGGACGAAGGGCUUUGGCUUGUAAACCUCUGUAGUGAGAGAAAAAAAUCCCAAUCUUUGGGACAUGAUGGUAGCUCAAAAGUAAGCCCCGGCUAACUACGUG